rnacentral:rRNA from 1 species
AUGCAGCACAACGCUCUCGACCUGUGCCUGGACCUCGCGCUCGGCAGCCUCGCCGUGACCACCGUGGUCCACAACAGUGUCGACCCGGCGCCGUCGAACGCGUGCGUGGCCGCGCUGAAGCGGGCGCAGGCGCACCAGCACAGGGGCAGGAGCGCGGCCGAGGUCGAGCUCGAGAAGCUCGUCGUCUCCAUCCUCGACGACCCGAGCGUCGACCGCGUCAUGCGCGCGGCCGGCUUCUCGAGCUCCCAGAUCAGGGCCAGCGUCGAGAGCGCUCUCACUUCGUCGAAGAGAUCAAGAUCAAGUAAGGCAGGUUGCGACAUCCUCGCGACAUGUCCAGCUCCGGUUCAGGACAUGAUUAGGGCUGGACAAGGCAGAAGGAAUCAGGAACUUUGCCGUCUUGAGUGCCAAGCUAGCAAUGCAAAAACAGGAGCAGGAGGGCGACCGGCCAUCUUUGGCGCAUCGACGGCGAGCAUUCCUCCGUGGCUCCGCCGCUACAAAGAUACAACUUGCGUCAGGUCAACAUACUGCGGCGCCAGUCUUCAGUCAUGCAUGCAGGCUGCUUGCCGCCGGCCGAAGUUCACGGAGCUCACCGCGACAAAUCUCAAUAUCCUCUGCAACGCGCUCCAGCUGCGCGUUCCGCGUCACGGGAACAUCAUCCCCGGCAUAUCGUGCACGGUGCUCCGGUGCAGAUCCGGCGUGACGAGGACUAUUCCUAGCUCGCUGUCCUCGACGAAAGCGACCUGCCUGCUCUUCCUAGGAGGGGACUAUGGCGGCAAGGUGGCAGUCGCUCAGGAGCUCGCGAGGCUCCUGUUUGGCUCAUACGCCGAGUUCACCACCGUCCAGCUGCAGAGUAGCCCUAACAUUCGCACACACAACGGCAAGCUAGCCCUCAAGAGGCAGAGAUCCCCGCACAAUGACGGCGACCUCGAAGAGAGGCUGUUUGAAGCGGUCGUGGAGAACCCUCACCGCGUUAUAUUGAUGGACGGCGUCGACCUCCAGGAUCGCGAUUCGGAGAUGCACAUCAUGGGGGGAGGAAUGGUGAGGGGAUGCAACGGUGGUGUGGUCAACCUGGAGGAUGCCAUCAUAGUGCUGAGCGCCUCUGACGUCUUGGACUCGAGGAGGUACGUGGCUUCACCUUCCUCCCCACGGGUGAAACGGCGGUUUGGUGGACAGAAGAACCGUGAGAAAGGUGAUGAUGGCACGGAGAUGAAGCGUCGUCAUGGCUGCGAUUUGAGUGUUUGUGCAGUGGUUGAGGAAGAGGAGGAGGAAGAUAGUUUGGCUGAUGACGACGAGGGGAUCCAGAAUGGUGUGGAUGGCGUUUUCCUUUUCAAUUAG